rnacentral:rRNA from 1 species
GUCCACGCCGUAAACGAUGGGCACUAGGUGUGGGAGGUGUCGACUCCUCCCGUGCCGACGCUAACGCAUUAAGUGCCCCGCCUGGGGAGUACGGCCGCAAGGCUAAAACUCAAAGGAAUUGACGGGGGCCCGCACAAGCAGCGGAGCAUGUGGUUUAAUUCGACGCAACGCGAAGAACCUUACCUGGGUUUGACAUGUUGGUGACCGGUGUGGAAACACACCUUUCUUUCGGGACACCAUCACAGGUGGUGCAUGGCUGUCGU